CUGCUCCUGCUGCCCCUCCCAGGGCUCUGGGCGGCCGUGACCCUGCUGGAGUGCGGGGGGCACCUCCAGCCCCCCGGGGGUUCCCUGCGCCUCCUCUGCCCAGGGUCCAGGUUCGAUUUUGGGAGUUUCUCCAUGUUCUGGAUCCGCCAGAGACCCGGGCAGGGGCUGGAAUGGCUGGCCGGGAUCAGCAGUGAUGGUGCCAACACCUUCUAUGCGCCAUCGGUCAAGGGCCGGUUCAGGAUCUCCAGGGACAACGGGCAGAGCUCGGUGACGCUGACCAUGAACAAUCUCAAGGACGAGGAUUCCGGAUCCUAUUUCUGUUCGGUGUAA